rnacentral:rRNA from 1 species
GAUGAACGCUGGCUACAGGCUUAACACAUGCAAGUCGAGGGGAAACGCCGGGGAAGCUUGCUUCCCCGGGCGUCGACCGGCGCACGGGUGAGUAACGCGUAUCCAACCUGCCUCUGACUGAGGGAUAACCCGUCGAAAGUCGGCCUAAUACCUCAUGGCAUCGUCUGCGGGCAUCCAACGACGAUUAAAGAUUUCAUCGGUCAGAGAUGGGGAUGCGUCUGAUUAGCUUGUUGGCGGGGUAACGGCCCACCAAGGCGACGAUCAGUAGGGGUUCUGAGAGGAAGGUCCCCCACAUUGGAACUGAGACACGGUCCAAACUCCUACGGGAGGCAGCAGUGAGGAAUAUUGGUCAAUGGGCGAGAGCCUGAACCAGCCAAGUAGCGUGCAGGAUGACGGCCCUAUGGGUUGUAAACUGCUUUUAUGCGGGGAUAAAGUGAGGGACGUGUCCUUCACUGCAGGUACCGCAUGAAUAAGGACCGGCUAAUUCCGUG